AACGAACGCUGGCGGCGUGCCCAAUACAUGCAAGUCGAACGAGAUAGUACCUUCGGGUAUGUGUAAAGUGGCAAACGGGUGAGUAAUACUUAGGUAACCUACCUUCUUGAUGGGGAUAACCUUCCGAAAGGAGGGCUAAUACCGAAUGAGACCACAGGGACUCUGGUCCAAGGGGUUAAAGAUGGCCUCUAUUUAUAAGCUAUCGCAAGAAGAUGGGCUUAAGCACCAUUAGCUAGUUGGUAAGGUAACGGCUUACCAAGGCUUCGACGGUUAACUGAUCUGAGAGGUUGAUCAGUCACACUGGAACUGAGACACGGUCCAGACUCCUACGGGAGGCAGCAGUAGGGAAUAUUGCGCAAUGAGGAAACUCUGACGCAGCGACGCCNCGUGGGCGAUGAAGGCUUUGGGCGUAAAGCCCUGUCGAACGGGAAGAAAAUAUUGUGGGCUAACAUCCACAGUACUUGACGGUACCGUUAGAGGAAGCACCGGCUAACUACGUGCCAGC
rnacentral:rRNA from 1 species